AUUCCAGCUCCAAUAGCGUAUAUUAAGGUUGUUGCAGUUAAAAAGCUCGUAGUUGGAUUUCUGACAGGGGGCCGAACACCACUGUAGUGAGUGUUUUGGUACCUGUCAUCCUUCUGUUAACCCUAGCGUCAUUCAUUUGUCGUUGGGCGGACCAGAUACUUUACCUUGAGAAAAUUAGAGUGUUUCAGGCAGGCCUAGCCGGAAUACAUUAGCAUGGAAUAAUGGAAUAGGACUAUAGUCUCGUCGUUGGUUACGUGGACUGCAGUAAUGAUUAAUAGGGAUAGUUGGGGGCAUUAGUAUUUAUUAGCUAGAGGUGGAAUUCUCUAAUUUGAUAAAGUCUAACUUAUGCGAAAGCAUUUGCCAAGGAUGUUUUCAUUA
rnacentral:rRNA from 1 species